CGAAUGGCUCAUUAUAUAAGUUAUCGUUUAUUUGAUAGUGCCUUACUACUUGGAUAACCGUGGUAAUUCUAGAGCUAAUACAUGCUAAAAGACCCGACUUUGGAAGGGUUGUAUUUAUUAGAUUAAAAACCAAUGCCCUCUGGGCUCACUGGUGAAUCAUGAUAACUUCGCGAAUCGCAUGGCCUUGUGCCGGCGAUGGCUCAUUCAAAUUUCUUCCCUAUCAACUUUCGAUGUUUGGGUAGUGGCCAAACAUGGUUGCAACGGGUAACGGAGGGUUAGGGCUCGACCCCGGAGAAGGAGCCUGAGAAACGGCUACUACAUCCAAGGAAGGCAGCAGGCGCGCAAAUUACCCAAUCCCGAUUCGGGGAGGUAGUGACAAUAAAUACUGAUACAGGGCUCUUUUGGGUCUUGUAAUUGGAAUGAGUACAAUUUAAAUCCCUUAACGAGGAACAAUUAGAGGGCAAGUCUGGUGCCAGCAGCCGCGGUAAUUCCAGCUCUAAUAGCGUAUAUUAAAGUUGUUGUGGUUAAAAAGCUCGUAGUUGAACCUUGGGCCUGGCUGGCGGGUCCGCCUCACCGCGUGUACUUCGCCGGCCGGGCCUUUCCCUCUGUGGAACCCUAUGCCCUUCACUGGGUGUGGUGGGGAAACAGGACUUUUACUUUGAAAAAAUUAGAGUGCUCCAGGCAGGCCUAUGCUCGAAUAUAUUAGCAUGGAAUAAUAAAAUAGGACGUGUGGUUCUAUUUUGUUGGUUUCUAGGACCGCCGUAAUGAUUAAUAGGGACAGCCGGGGGCAUCAGUAUUCAAUUGUCAGAGGUGAAAUUCUUGGAUUUAUUGAAGACUAACUACUGCGAAAGCAUUUGCCAAGAAUGUUUUCAUUAAUCAGGAACGAAAGUUAGGGGAUCGAAGACGAUCAGAUACCGUCGUAGUCUUAACCAUAAACUAUGCCGACUAGGGAUCGGACGAUGUUAUUACUUGACUCGUUCGGCACCUUACGAGAAAUCAAAGUGCUUGGGCUCC
rnacentral:rRNA from 1 species